GAGGCCUUGGGAACCUGGUCCAACCCAAUCACAUCCAAACUGGACGCACUCUCUGGUACAAAGCACGAAGGCAGGCGUCUUGUUUGGGUGUGAUUGUGUGGGACACCUGGCGUCCGUCCUUGC
rnacentral:precursor_RNA from 15 species